UUGGAGGGCAAGUCUGGUGCCAGCAGCCGCGGUAAUUCCAGCUCCAAUAGCGUAUAUUAAAGUUGUUGUGGUUAAAAAGCUCGUAGUUGAACCUUGGGCCUGGCUGGCCGGUCCGCCUCACCGCGUGUACUGGUCCGGCCGGGCCUUUCCCUCUGUGGAACCCCAUGCCCUUCACUGGGUGUGGCGGGGAAACAGGACUUUUACUGUGAAAAAAUUAGAGUGCUCCAGGCAGGCCUAUGCUCGAAUACAUUAGCAUGGAAUAAUAGAAUAGGACGUGUGGUUCUAUUUUGUUGGUUUCUAGGACCGCCGUAAUGAUUAAUAGGGACAGUCGGGGGCAUCAGUAUUCAAUUGUCAGAGGUGAAAUUCUUGGAUUUAUUGAAGACUAACUACUGCGAAAGCAUUUGCCAAGGAUGUUUUCAUUAAUCAGGAACGAAAGUUAGGGGAUCGAAGACGAUCAGAUACCGUCGUAGUCUUAACCAUAAACUAUGCCGACUAGGGAUCGGACGGUGUUAUUUUUUGACCCGUUCGGCACCUUACGGGAAAC
rnacentral:rRNA from 1 species